rnacentral:tRNA from 1 species
GCAGUGUAGCAUAAUGGUUAGGGUGCUGGUCUCCGACCUACGAGGUCAUGGGUUCGAUUCCCAGGCAAGCA